rnacentral:pre_miRNA from 1 species
GUGGUACUCCUUUUGUUCGGAAAUACUUGUCCGAAAAAUAAAUGUAUUUAGAUGUAUUUUAGUUUUUAGAUACAUUCAUUCUUAUCUAUUUUUGUGACAAGUAAUUUCAGAAAGAGGGAGUACUUU